UGGGGAAUAUUGCACAAUGGGCGAAAGCCUGAUGCAGCAACGCCGCGUGAAGGAAGAAGGGUUUCGGCUCGUAAACUUCUAUCAAUGGGGAAGAAACAAAUGACGGUACCCAAAUAAGAAGCCCCGGCUAACUACGUGCCAGCAGCCGCGGUAAUACGUAGGGGGCAAGCGUUAUCCGGAAUUACUGGGUGUAAAGGGAGCGUAGGCGGCAUGGUAAGCCAGAUGUGAAAGCCCGAAGCUUAACUUCGAGGAUUGCAUUUGGAACUAUCAAGCUAGAGUACAGGAGAGGUAAGUGGAAUUCCUAGUGUAGCGGUGAAAUGCGUAGAUAUUAGGAAGAACACCAGUGGCGAAGGCGACUUACUGGACUGAAACUGACGCUGAGGCUCGAAAGCGUGGGGAGCGAACAGG
rnacentral:rRNA from 2 species